UACGAAGGGGGCUAGCGUUGUUCGGAAUUACUGGGCGUAAAGCGCGCGCAGGCGGUCUUCCAAGUCAGUGGUGAAAGCCCGGAGCUCAACUCCGGAAUUGCCAUUGAAACUGUGAGACUGGAGUACGAGAGAGGUGAGUGGAAUUCCCAGUGUAGAGGUGAAAUUCGUAGAUAUUGGGAAGAACACCGGUGGCGAAGGCGGCUACACUGGCUCGUAACUGACGCUCAGGCGCGAAAGCGUGGGGAGCAAACAGG
rnacentral:rRNA from 1 species